rnacentral:lncRNA from 1 species
GCUGGUCGCAGGGCUGCGGGACUACAAUCUUCGCAUGAAAUGGAAGAGAGGGUGGUGCGGAUAGCUUGAGGAAGGAACACUACAAGGCCUGUUAGAGAAGAAAGGGUAGAAUCCCGAGAAUGUUUUCCCCACAGUGCUGAUAAGGAGAGACCACUAUCCCAUCUACUGCUACAGCUCUGGAGACAGAGCUCUCCCACCUGUCAUAUAGAACACAAGGACCAAUCUGCAGAGAAAGAGCAUCCAAACCUGAUCCAGUGGACACUGGGGAAAAACUCACCACAGCUGAGUGUGGAAAAACAAGGCCAACACACACAUCUCUGCACAGAUACAUCUCCCAUAAAGAAACUAAAGUGUUAAUUUACAGGGCACUGUUGCAGACCCACUUCAGCUGGAAGCUAGGAACAUGGACAAGGAGCCUCUCUACCACCAAGGGAGAGAGAGGAAUGUGCUCUUGUCCUGGCAUUGCAUCCACAGGAGGGGCAGGAAAUUCUUUGAAGGUUUUCAGAUCUCAUGACUACUUUAUUUUGGAGUUGCCAGACUCAGCAAAUAAAAAUACACGACACACAGUUAAGUUUAAUAUUCAGAAAGAAAACUGUUGUGGCAAGUCAGGGACCCCAAACGGAGGGACCGGCUGAAGCCAUGGCAGAAGAACAAGGAUUGUGAAGAUUUCAUGGACAUUUAUUAGUUCCCCAAAUUAAUACUUUUAUAAUUUCUUAUGUCUGUCUUUACUGCAAUCUCUAAACAUA